UAGAUACUCACCCUGGUGGGCCUCAC
rnacentral:piRNA from 1 species